CCUACGGGCGGCAGCAGUGGGGAAUAUUGCACAAUGGGCGCAAGCCUGAUGCAGCCAUGCCGCGUGUGUGAAGAAGGCCUUCGGGUUGUAAAGCACUUUCAGCGGGGAGGAAGGCGGUGAGGUUAAUAACCUCAUCGAUUGACGUUACCCGCAGAAGAAGCACCGGCUAACUCCGUGCCAGCAGCCGCGGUAAUACGGAGGGUGCAAGCGUUAAUCGGAAUUACUGGGCGUAAAGCGCACGCAGGCGGUCUGUCAAGUCGGAUGUGAAAGCCCCGGGCUCAACCUGGGAACUGCAUUCGAAACUGGCAGGCUAGAGUCGUGUAGAGGGGGGUAGAAUUCCAUGUGUAGCGGGGAAAUGCGUAGAGAUCUGGAGGAAUACCGGUGGCGAAGGCGGCCCCCUGGACAAAGACUGACGCUCAGGUGCGAAAGCGUGGGGAGCAAACAGGAUUAGAUACCCCGGUAGUC
rnacentral:rRNA from 1 species